rnacentral:rRNA from 1 species
UACAGAGGAGCCAAGCGUUGUCCGGAUUGACUGGGCGUAAAGCGCACGCAGGCGGUUGCGCGCGUGGGGUGUGAAAUCUGGCCGCUUAACGGCCAGGCGCCAUCCCAUACGGCGCGACUGGAGUGAUGCAGAGGUCGAUGGAAUUGCCGGUGUAGUGGUGAAAUGCGUAGAGAUCGGCAGGAACACCCAGGGGGAAACCAGUCGACUGGGCAUCUACUGACGCUGAGGUGCGAGAGCGUGGGAGCGA